CUGGCCAACAUGGUGAAACCCUGUCUCUACUAAAAAUACAAAAAUUUGGCAGGCGUGGUGGUGGGCACCUGUAAUCCCAGCUACUUGUGAGGUGGAGGCUGAGGCAGGAGAAUUACUUGAACUGGGAAGGCAGAGGUUGCAAUGUCCUCCAGCCUCAGCCCCUCCAGUAGCUUGGACUACAGGCACAUGCCACUACACCUGGCUAAUUUUUGUAUUUUUUGUAGAGACAGGGUUUCACCAUGUUUCUCAGGCUGGUGUUGAACUCCUGAACUCAAGUGACCUGCCUGCCUCAGCCUCCCAAAGUGCUGGGAUCACAAG
rnacentral:lncRNA from 1 species